GUUGUGCAGCAAACGUUAUACGGCUCCUCUUCCACCUCCGUGAGAAUCACCGACCGAUAGCACCGUGUGCGGGAGAGCUAUGAGGAAAACGUGAAGGGAGGCUCGCCAUUGGUGAUUCGUGGCCCUUGGGGAAACCUGGUCGUGAUUGUGGCCUAGGGGAAGACCACGGAGCACGCCGGGCGCAUACGCGAGGAAAUCAAGGGCUGAUCACCCAUGCUGCGGGGCGGAUUACUCACCGGUGAACAAUCCACGUCGCUUGGCCGCCAAUCCUCGUCGGUAGGGCGCAUCACUUCAAAAUCGGAGACAAGCAAGCUACUGAGGACCCAGGUGUUUAGUAGGAGGAAAAAUUAUUGGGCAGGAGCUCGUUGAAGGUGAAGAGCAGGUGGUCCAAGAGGAGCCCUACAAUGAGGAAUAUGAGCUUAUCUAGGUGGCGUCUCCCUGUCACCUUGAUGGCGCCAAUGAAUAAUAUUUAGUUCAUUUUAUUGUUAUCAUUUAUUUUUGUAAGACUUUCGCUAUGUAAUAAUGAUAGUUGUGACAUUUAUUGUGACGAAACCUCCCAAGGUAUUAGGCCCACCUACAUUUGUCCUUGUCCAAGGGACCUUGGACAACCCUGUAGAUGCACAAAAUCACUUGACAAGUUCGGUAACUGUAUCCUCAUCAUUACGC
rnacentral:lncRNA from 7 species